GAUGAACGCUGGCGGCGUGCCUAAUACAUGCAAGUCGAGCGAACGGACGAGAAGCUUGCUUCUCUGAUGUUAGCGGCGGACGGGUGAGUAACACGUGGAUAACCUACCUAUAAGACUGGGAUAACUUCGGGAAACCGGAGCUAAUACCGGAUAAUAUUUUGAACCGCAUGGUUCAAAAGUGAAAGACGGUCUUGCUGUCACUUAUAGCUGGAUCCGCGCUGCAUUAGCUAGUUGGUAAGGUAACGGCUUACCAAGGCAACGAUGCAUAGCCGACCUGAGAGGGUGAUCGGCCACACGGGAACUGAGACACGGUCCAGACUCCUACGGGAGGCAGCAGUAGGGAAUCUUCCGCAAUGGGCGAAAGCCUGACGGAGCGACGCCGCGUGAGUGAUGAAGGUCUUCGGAUCGUAAAACUCUGUUAUUAGGGAAGAACAUAUGUGUAAGUAACUGUGCACAUCUUGACGGUACCUAAUCAGAAAGCCACGGCUAACUACGUG
rnacentral:rRNA from 1 species